rnacentral:lncRNA from 1 species
GGGAUGGAACUGGGGAUACUGGGAGGGAGCUGGGGAUACUGGGAUGGAACUGGGAUGGAACUGGGGAUACUGGGAGGGAGCUGGGGAUACUGGGAGGGAACUGGGAUGGAACUGGGAGGGAACUGGGGAUACUGGGGUGGAACUGGGAGGGAAAUGGAAUGGAACUGGGAUGGAACUGGGGAUACUGGGAAGGAAAUGGGAUGGAACUGGGAUGGAACUGGGGAUACUGGGAUGGAACUGGGGAUACUGGGAGGGAACUGGGAUGGAACUGGGACGGAACUGGGAAGGAACUGGGAGGGAACUGGGAUGGAACUGGGAUGGAACUGGGGAUACUGGGAUGGAACUGGGGAUACUGGGACUGGGGACACUGGUGACACUGGGACUGGGGACACUGGGGACACUGGGGAUACUGGUGACACUGGGGACACUGGGACUGGUGUCACUGGUGAUACUGGGACUGGGGAUACUGGGACUGGGGACACUGGUGAUACUGGGACUGCGGACACUGGGACUGGGGACACUGGGACUGGUGAUACUGGGGACACUGGGACUGGGGGACACUGGGGACACUGGGACUGGGGGGACUGGGACUGCGGACACUGGGGACACUGGGACUGGUGUCACUGGUGUUACUGGUGACACUGGUGUCACUGGUGACACUGGGACUGGGGACACUGGGACUGGGGACACUGGGACUGGUGAUACUGGUGUCACUGGUGUCACUGGUGACACUGGGACUGGGGACACUGGUGACACUGGUGACACUGAUGACACUGCGGACUGGGGAUACUAGUGUCACUGGUGACACUGGUGUCACCGGUGACACUGGGACUGGGGACACUGGGACUGGUGAUACUGGUGUCACUGGUGUCACCGGUGACACUGAGACUGGGGACACUGGUGACACUGGGGACACUGGUGAUACUGGGACUGGGGACACUGGGACUGGUGACACUGG